rnacentral:rRNA from 1 species
AGCCCCGUACACAAAAAUGCACAUGCUGUGAGCUCGAUGAGUAGGGCGGGACACGUGGUAUCCUGUCUGAAUAUGGGGGGACCAUCCUCCAAGGCUAAAUACUCCUGACUGACCGAUAGUGAACCAGUACCGUGAGGGAAAGGCGAAAAGAACCCCGGCGAGGGGAGUGAAAAAGAACCUGAAACCGUGUACGUACAAGCAGUGGGAGCACGCUUAGGCGUGUGACUGCGUACCUUUUGUAUAAUGGGUCAGCGACUUAUAUUCUGUAGCAAGGUUAACCGAAUAGGGGAGCCGAAGGGAAACCGAGUCUUAACUGGGCGUUAAGUUGCAGGGUAUAGACCCGAAACCCGGUGAUCUAGCCAUGGGCAGGUUGAAGGUUGGGUAACACUAACUGGAGGACCGAACCGACUAAUGUUGAAAAAUUAGCGGAUGACUUGUGGCUGGGGGUGAAAGGCCAAUCAAACCGGGAGAUAGCUGGUUCUCCCCGAAAGCUAUUUAGGUAGCGCCUCGUGAAUUCAUCUCCGGGGGUAGAGCACUGUUUCGGCAAGGGGGUCAUCCCGACUUACCAACCCGAUGCAAACUGCGAAUACCGGAGAAUGUUAUCACGGGAGACACACGGCGGGUGCUAACGUCCGUCGUGAAGAGGGAAACAACCCAGACCGCCAGCUAAGGUCCCAAAGUCAUGGUUAAGUGGGAAACGAUGUGGGAAGGCCCAGACAGCCAGGAUGUUGGCUUAGAAGCAGCCAUCAUUUAAAGAAAGCGUAAUAGCUCACUGGUCGAGUCGGCCUGCGCGGAAGAUGUAACGGGGCUAAACCAUG